rnacentral:rRNA from 1 species
GGGAUCGAAGAUGAUUAGAUAGCAUCGUAGUCUUAACCGUAAACGAUGCCGACUUGCGAUUGUCCGAUGGUUUUUCUUUAGCCGUGGGCAGCAGCACAUGAGAAAUCAAAGUCUUUGGGUUCCGGGGGGAGUAUGGUCGCAAGGCUGAAACUUAAAGGAAUUGACGGAAGGGCACACCAGGAGUGGAGCCUGCGGCUUAAUUUGACUCAACACGGGGAAACUUACCAGGUCCAGACAAAGUAAGGAUUGACAGAUUGAGAGCUCUUUCUUGAUUCUUUGGGUGGUGGUGCAUGGCCGUUCUUAGUUGGUGGAGUGGUUUGUCUGGUUAAUUCCGAUAACGAACGAGACCCCAACCUGCUAACUAGACUAGUUUUGCUCACGCAAGACUAGCGCUUCUUAGAGGGACAUUUCGGAUCUACCGGAAGGAAGUUUGUG